GUACACUCCUACGGGAGGCAGCAGUGGGGAAUUUUGGACAAUGGGCGAAAGCCUGAUCCAGCAAUGCCGCGUGAGUGAAGAAGGCCUUCGGGUUGUAAAGCUCUUUUGUCAGGGAAGAAACGGUGAAAGCUAAUAUCUUUUGCUAAUGACGGUACCUGAAGAAUAAGCACCGGCUAACUACGUGCCAGCAGCCGCGGUAAUACGUAGGGUGCAAGCGUUAAUCGGAAUUACUGGGCGUAAAGCGUGCGCAGGCGGUUUUGUAAGUCUGAUGUGAAAUCCCCGGGCUCAACCUGGGAAUUGCAUUGGAGACUGCAAGGCUAGAAUCUGGCAGAGGGGGGUAGAAUUCCACGUGUAGCAGUGAAAUGCGUAGAUAUGUGGAGGAACACCGAUGGCGAAGGCAGCCCCCUGGGUCAAGAUUGACGCUCAUGCACGAAAGCGUGGGGAGCAAACAGGAUUAGAAACCCGUGUAGUCC
rnacentral:rRNA from 1 species